rnacentral:lncRNA from 1 species
GAAAGACCCUUCAAUUUUACUCAGCUGUGUAAAAAUUGAGGCUUCUCUCUAAUGAUGUUUCUACUAAACAGUCUUCCUAUUCUGAAGUCCUGUGUUGGAACCCACAAGUGAAGAGUCACAAAGUUCUGAGAUCAGAGAAUUGCCUCAAAUUCUGAAUGAAGAACCAUCUGCAAGGUCCCUCUCUAUUACAGUCCUCACGCUUUGAGUGUAUCAGAGCCGGGUCAAGCCUUAAACCAGAUGUUGCCGCUGUUGUUAUAAAACAGUUAAACCAUGUGAAUGAAGACACAUCAGCUGUAUCAGGAGCCACAGGUCAGCUUGAAGGUGUGAGCCAUGACGCCAUUGCUUAUUUUUACAAGAAGAAUUUUCAAUAAAGACCGUAAUUACUGAUGUCAUUCAUGUUCAUCAGAAUUAUAUGAUGAUUGAGUGAAUAGCAUCACUUUAGUGAUUUGGAAGAUUCUAUAAAAUGUUUGAGAGUUCAUUCUCCCUCUUCACGUGGAAACUUCCAGGAGAAACAUGCUAUGUGAUUCCCAAUCCAGUAAGUAUUUAAGUUGCGAAUGAAUCACUAUAAUUUUUCCAAAUUGAUUCCCCCUAAACCGUAGGUAGAUCAGAUAUGGAAGACCCUGUUUCAGUACAUAAACUGCACAGCCGUCCAGCUUUCCAGUACCCCACACACACGUGCACAAGCACAUUGCACAUAAAGCUUUGUUUUCUUGCCCCAGUAAAUGUGUCCAGAUAUAUCAAGGCAAUUUAAAGGGAUUUCCUAACUGAAUUCCAGAAAUCUAGUGUGCUACAGGCAAGGCUGGUCCAGAGGUUCAAGAAAGCUAUGGAACUCAGUUUCUACUCCAAUCACUUCUCCAUGCCCUUCCCCUCCCCCAUAUUUGUUUCUUCCUAAGGUUGGUUCCUUGGGUUGCUUUAGGCUGUCUUCCAGGAGUGAUCAGAGCUUUAUAUUCUUUCCUCAGUUCCUGAUAGAAAGGUAGUUUUUCUGCCUCACACAAACAAGCAAGGAUUCCUACUCUAAUGGAUCAGAUCAGAUGCCAAUGUCUGUCCUGGGGAGUGAGAUGUGCUGAUUGGUUUAAGGCAUCCAGCCCCCCUUCAGAAAUGCAGAGGCUGCCUGGGGAAGAUGCAAACCUCAAGGGAAACCCGAGUGCUGUUAGAAAAGAGGAGGGGUUUGUGGGGGACUGGAAUUGACCACCUCAAGAUAUGUCUCUUUGGCAUGAGGAUUAUUUUGGGCUGGUUACUUUUAGAAACUGCAGACAGGAAAGAAGCUCUGAAAAGUAGAAUUUACUUAUUCUUUGUUAAGAGACAUUUACAUUUGUAAAGGAAAUCUCCAUCUGUAAAGUUGUCUCCCUCUCUGUAUGGGGGAAGAGGGGGGAAUGACCUUAUCUCUAGAAACUCUUAUCAAUGAGGAAGGCAAGGACUUAAAUCUGCAUAAUAACCUUACCCUUGUUUACUGUGCUUUUCUGGUAAUCUCCCAUAACUGACUCCCCCAACCCCCAACAUCCUCCCUUUGUCUUUAGCUGAAGAUGAUAUUUAAGGUGGUGGCUUCAGCCAUUUUGGAAAGUUGCUCAGGUUGCCUGAGCCUCUCCCAUGUAUACAUGCUAUAAAGCUUUGUUUAAUUUUCUCCUGUUAUUCUGUCUCAUGUAAAUUUAAUUCAUUUUAUGGCCAGAAGGACCCAGAGGGGGUUGAGGAAAUGUCUUCCUCCUCUACAGGGUAGAAUGGAUUCAACAACAUCCAUUAUCCCAGAGAAACUACUUUCAGGAUCAAAGAAAGGGAGAAACACAAGUAGCUUGUUAUGAAAUUUUCCUCCAGCAUCUCCCUAGGUUACUGAAUCUUCCCACACAACAGGGAGCCCAAAUUGACAGUUACAUCUACCUCCAACACAUUGGAUUUCUUCUUUUAAAUCCUUGCCUGCCAAAGCCUAGUGGUAGUCAAUGCUAGGUAUGGCCACUUUUGAUGCUUUACAUUCAUAGAUUUUAAAUUCUUUGCUUUUUAAUUAUUGGAUCAGCAAUGGCAUCACAUAUUCAAAACAGGAUGUUAAUGAGAGUCAUUGGCAAUUUUGAACAGAGAAAUGUCCAGCUAGUUUUUCAGUAGCUGUAAAAUGGAACUUAUAAAACACCCAAAGUUACUGUUUUGGGGGAAUUGAAGAACGCAUUUUUCACCUGGUAGAGACCAGAUAUCUAUCCAUUACAUUGUUGCUUUCCCGAGGAAUAGAUCAGUGAAAGUCUGUGCAAUAUAACAAAAUAGAAAUUCCAGGGAAGUUCAGCACAGCUUACAAGCAAAGCUUUGACUACAUCUAAGAGACAGUAUUCCUGUGGCAAUAAUAUCAUGUUGGUUAAGAUGAAUAAACCUUGUUUUUAGUGAACA